AUGAACUAAAUAACAUGCAUGAAUUAGACUCAAAAUUCAAAAGAUAGGCUAAGAAUGACAAGAAUACAUGAACAAAUUGAUCAAGGUCAUACCCGAAUCAAAUAAACAUUAAAAAUGUAGUAUCUAGGAAGUGAUCCUAGGUCGUCUCCCAACGAGCAAUGAUCAACCAAACGUUCGUAAUAGAUAGUAAUAAAACAAUAAC
rnacentral:lncRNA from 1 species